AGGGGCGUAGUUCUAAUGGUAGAACGGCGGUCUCGAAAACCGCAUGUUGUGAGUUCUAUUCUUACAGCCCCUGCCA
rnacentral:tRNA from 1 species